rnacentral:lncRNA from 10 species
AUAUUUAUGAUGAAUUCUUGCCUUGAAUAUUGAAUAACUCUAUGAAGACUACUCAUAACUAUGUCCCACUUCGACAAAAAUUCAUAAACACAGUGCUUCCAUAACACUUGAUGCUGAGUACCCUCAUGUUCAUUGAGGGUAAUGUUUUUGUAUUCAUUGCCACUUCUGCUUCUGAAAGCCAUUGAAUGUGCAUUUCAUGUCUGAUACUGGGCAAGCUAUGGUCUGAAAUUCUCCUGAAUAGUGGCUUCUUUCAUGUUCUGCCUGCAGUAGGAACAAUGUGAUAGUAUAAGCUCCUCGGGAGCAGAAAUUUUGUUUUUUCUGAAUAUCUGCAAUACACAGCAAAAAUCAUGUGCAUUUAGGAUCCAUUUAACAACAAAUGGCAGAAAACAUAGCUACAAAUUGGCUUAACUAAUAAAAGCCAGUGGUGUGGAUGACCCAAGAGCAGCCAGGAUGGGAGACAGCUAGACAGAGCCUGCAAGCCCCUCUGGAAUACUUUCACUAUCAGAACACAAUGAAUGACAAACCUUUAAAAACUCCUAUGAGUUACAGAGAAAGCUUCCAGUGAAGAUGGUAGUAUUGGCUGAGUCUAGGAAAUGGAAGAAAGGAAAAACAGAACAGCAGGAGCAAAAAAAUAAAGGCAACAUUCUAGCAUGUUAACUAUGUGUGUCCUUAUUUCUUUCAUCUUAAAAUUCUAAUUUUAAAAUGUUAAAAUGAUAAAUACUAUAUAACAUUAUCGGAUGUUUAAGAAAUGUAAUAAAUAAAUAUCACGCACCUCACUACCAAAACACAUCAUUCAUUUUAAUUUUGC